rnacentral:lncRNA from 1 species
ACGAAGGGUUAAUAUUUUGAAAAGUUCGAAAUAACACCCUUUAAGCCAAGGGCUUUCGCCAAAAAGAAGAGUUUGACAUGGAAUGAAUGACGACGAGUUAAUAUUUUGACAAGUUCGAAAUAACACCCUUUAAGGCCAAGGGCCUUUACCAAAAAGAAGAGUUAGACCUUGAUCAAACGACGAGGGGUUAAUAUUUUGAACAGUUCGAAAUAACACCCUUUAAGGCCAAGGGCCUGCGCCAAAAAGAAGUGUUUGACCUUGAUCGAACGACGACGGGUCAUUAUUUAGACAUGUUUGAAAUAACACCCUUUAAGGCCAAGGGCCUUAACCAAAAAGAAGAGUUUGACCUUGAUCGAAUGAUGACGGGUUAAUAUUUCAAAAAGUUCGAAUUAACACACUUUAAGGCCAAGGUCCUUCGCCAAAAAGAAGUGUUCGACCUUGAUCGAACGACGACGGGUUAAUAUUUUGAAUAUUUUGAAAUAACACCCUUUAAGGCCAAGGGCCUGCGCCAAAAAGAAAUGUUUUACCUUGAUCGAACGACGACGGGUCAUUAUUUAGGCAUGUUUGAAAUAACACCCUUUAAGGCCAAGGGCCUUAACCAAAAAGAAGAGUUAGACCAUGAUCGAACGAUGACGGGUUAAUAUUUCGACAAGUUCAAAAUAACACCCUUUAGGACCAAGCGCCUUCUCUAAAAAGAAGAGUUCAACCUUGAUCGAAUUACGAUUUGUCAGUAUUUCGACAAUUUUAAAAUAACACCUUUUAAGGCCAAGGGCCUUCGCCAAAAAGAAGAGUUUGACCUUGAUCGAACGACGACCGACUAAUAUUUUGGCAAGUUCGAAAUAACACCCUUUAAACCAAGGGCUUUCGCCAAAAAGAAGAGUUUGACCUGGAAUGAAUGACGACGAGUUAAUAUUUUGACAAGUUUGAAAUAACACCCUUUAAGGCCAAGGGCCUUCGGCAAAAAGAAGAGUUU